CUUGAAUAAAUAUAAGAGGUCCAGCCUGCCCAGUGACCAUGUUCAACGGCCGCGGUAUCCUAACCGUGCGAAGGUAGCGUAAUCACUUGUUCUUUAAAUAAGGACUAGUAUGAACGGCACCACGAAGGUUACACUGUCUCCUUUCUCUAAUCAGUGAAACUAAUCCCCCCGUGAAGAAGCGGGGAUAAACAUAUAAGACGAGAAGACCCUAUGGAGCUUCAAACUUUAAAGGCACUUGCCCCAACAUAAACCUAAUUUCAGAAAACUACUACCACCCAAGCAAGAUGACCCUUAGUUUUAGGUUGGGGUGACCGCGGAGCAAAAAAAAACCUCCACAUUGAAAAGAGCCAACUCUUUAGCCAAGAGCUACACCUCUAAGCACCAACAAAAAGACGUUAAUUGACCCAAUAUUUUGAUCAACGAAC
rnacentral:rRNA from 1 species